AUGAACACUGUGGAACUGACCUUCCAUGGACUUGCAUUAUUUUCCAGAGAACCCAUAAAGCCCUGAGUUGAUUAUCCCUUUAAUACCAUGGCUAUAAUUUGACACAUUUGCCGGUAGAAAUGUGUUCUUUUGCCGGUAGAAAUGUGUUCAACAUCCACUGAAGUAGCGAGCAAGUUUACUAGAUAGCUACAGUAGUUGCCUUGGUAACCAAACAAACAUACUUGCUAGUUUAGAUAACCAAACCAUCAGUCCUAGCUUGCUAUUGUGAAAACCUAAUUCAACAAUACCAAUACUGUUUUCAAUUUGACUUAAUUUGUAAUGUCCAAAAGGCAAAACGUAUUUACCGUGGAUUGGAGGGAAGAGGUCUGUGAACCAAUAUCAGUUUGUUGUAUUCAUAAAAGUAAUAUGGGGUGGAAGCUACUGAAGUUUUAGGGAAGCAUUUUUCAUGUAAAGUCAAUUCAGAGAAUGACAGACUUUGAUGCCAAACCGCCAUUACACCUUCCUGUUCAAGAGAGCACAGCACAACAAGCUCUAGGCAGACAGCACGUCAGGAAUGCUGCAAGACAUCAGAGACAGAUGCCUGGCCUUUUCUUGUUCUUGGAGGUUGGUUCUGAUGUUUCAGCCGCUUCUGGAGCUUCUAGCUGCUGGCUGUCUGGCCCCCCCUGUUGGUUCUCUGGCCACUCCUGCUGGUUCUCUGAACUCCCCUCCUGGUUCUCUGCCCAUGCCUGUUGCCUCCUUGGCCUUUCCUGGUGGUCAUCUCCAGAUCCAGUGGGCUGUGUUGUCUCCAGAUAAUCGUGGCUGUGUUGGGUGGUUAGACACCGGGUGUUGAUUUGAGCAUCAGCCUCCAGAUUCAUCUGCUCCAGGAGGGGGUAAGAAGACAGUCCCAGUAGGAGACGGAGAUCGUCCAGAAGAAGAAGAGGUGUCCAUCUCCUCAGAGACUGCAGGAAAGGUCUACAAGUUUUAUUUCUGGAAAAUAAAGAGAUGCCUUCUUUCAGCAACAAUGUGUGUUUCUAUGUUUCUGUCACUAGAUGGCGCCAUUGUAAACAACAUUUACUCACCAGGUCAGUGAAUUCAGAAACAGCCUUCAGACUACGGUACUCAAACUCUAGCCUACAACCCAUCAUGCAUCAGCACGACUAAUAUAAUAAUACCUCAUCACAACUUCAUAAUCACAGUACACCUGGAUUGUGUUCACAAAGUGUUUCAGGGUAGGAGUGCUGAUCUAGGAUCAGGUCCCCUCCUGUCCAUCAAAACGUAUUCAGUUUGAUUUAAAAGACAGAACUGAUCAUUGAUCAGCACUCCUUCUAUGAGACUUUGUGAAUAUGAGCCUAUGUGAAGAAUCUUUCUGGCAUAUGCUGGCUAGACAGUACACAGACAGACAGAUAGUCUGACAGACAGACAGAAGAGUAAAUACAGAUAGAGUGAUUGAUAGCAACAGAAAAAAACGAAUCCAUAAUUAAUAAUUGUGUUUUAUAAGGCUAGCUAGGUAAUGUCAGAAAGAAAACAUAUUUCAAAUACAUUAACGUUCACAUGUGGUAUCUUACCAUGACAGAAUUAUAGGCUAAGUAGGCUAGCGGAUGGUUAAUGUAUUGUAAACUUUUGUAAAUAUUUGACUCACCUCAAAUCACACUUGUCAAAGCGCAGUUUUAGUGUUUAACCGAAUAACAUCUUCGGCAUUAACUUUCUCUGUUCUGGAACUGUAUUGUUGCGUCAUUUGGAACGCUUGAGCGUCAUAAUCCGUUCACCGCGCCUGCUUGAUUGACAGCUAGGGGUUCUCCUGCGCAUCAGUGUCCAAAAGUCGAUUUGUUUAGAUACUCAUAAUUGAUCAAGACAUUUUUAACUAUUUUCCACUUUACUUUUAUUUCGCGUAUUUUUGCCUAAGGUUAUUUACCAUAUCUAUCAUCACCACAAGUAAUAUACCUACCAUCACAACAUCUAUCACACCUACCAUCACCAAACCUACCACACCUACCUUCACCACACCUACCAUACCUACCUUCACCAAACCAACCAACCAUCACCACACCUAUUACACCUACCAUCACCACAGCUACCUCACCUACCAUCAUCACACCACACCCACCAAACCUACCUACCUACCACAACUAUCACACCCAUCUACCACAACUGACACACCUACAUCACACCUAACAUAACCACACCUACCAUCACUAUACCUACCAUUACACCAACCAUCUCACCUACCAUCACCACACCUACCAUCGCCACAAAUACCAUACCAUAAUUACUUCACCACACCUACCAUCACCACACCUACAAUCACUAUACUUAAUGUAGCAGUGUGAUGUUGUUCCCCUAGAAUAUGCACCAAGUUGCACACAAGGACCAAUUCAAAUAGGCCAGGUCAAGAGGGCAUGUUAAUAAUUUGGCGCUCUUUUGCCUGACUUUCGGCUAGCAAGGUGCCUGAGAGCUAGGACUGCGCCAAGGGUUAACAUAAUGUGUGUUUUCUCUUCGUGUGCAGGGCAAAUACAUAUAAUUCAACUAGCAGACCUUCAGUUGUGGCAGCGUCCUAAUUAAAAGUACACAACGCAGAAUGAACCACGCUACACAAGGUAGCCAAAGUGGAAUCAAAAGUCAUAGGCCUAAUCACCAAUCAAAUAUGAAAUAUAAAACCAAAAUAUAAUCUACAUAUAAAUGUAGUAGAGUUCAAAAGGUUAUUCCAUCAAACUUCAAAUUAUUAGAAUAGUACACAACGCAGAACAGAACAACCAGGUUGGGGGUCAGUGGCCCAAGCCCGCUAACAGGAAUAUUCCAAGUUCAGACAGAAGGGGGGAGUCAGAUCGCUAUGAUCACAAGGAACUUUACUUUUGGUGUCUAUUUUUAAUUGUUGCUCUACUGGUGCUGCCUGUUGAUGUUAGGUAGGUAGCUACAGUAGCUGAAUGAUGUUAACAUCUUAGGGUUUUGUUUCAUUAAAUGUAUUAUAUUUCAUCUGGGUGCUUGUGUCACCUACUAACACCCUGGUACUACCCGUAGCUCCCGUUCUCCUCAGUCUGAGAGAAAGGUAUGUGUUGCAGAUGACUCCUUUGUAGAAGUCCAUAACGUCAAAUAAAUAAAACAUCCUAAGGUUAAUGCUGUAGAUAUUGUUAUAAGGGAGUGUGAGAUGUAAGAAAUUGUAUUAGAUAUUGGUAACUUGUUUUAACAACUUCUCAACAUUAGCUAUAGUGGACACAACAUACACACCCCCUCUUUCUCUUGGACAUAUGCUGGACUCAUUAGACAUAUACACGACACCCACAACUCCCCUCCCCCAUGACAAUCACACAGACACACCCAACCCAUGGUUGGACCUCAGGACAAAGAACUAUCUCAGGAACCAAUGGAACGUGGACACCAGGCCUGAUCAGGACUACCCAAGACCCAGAUCGACCAAUCGGAAGGCCGGACUCGCAGAUCUACCUACUUUGCUUGUUGUCUAUAUAGUACUGUACAAUUCUGGAAACUGGCCUCUUUCCCGGACGAUUCACUAGGAGUCAGACAGAAAGAGCCUUGCUGCAAGAUUUUACUAAGAUAUCUUUACAUGUGAUUAAACGGCCUUAUUAUAAAAUUA